GCGAUGAAGGCCCUUGGGUCGUAAAGCACUGUCAACUGGGACGAAAACUCAAUGGCUAAUACCUGUUGAGUCUGACGGUACCAGUAAAGGAAGCACCGGCUAACUCUGUGCCAGCAGCCGCGGUAAUACAGAGGGUGCAAACGUUGCUCGGAAUUAUUGGGCGUAAAGCGCGUGUAGGCGGCCUGUUAAGUCGACUGUGAAAGCCCAUGGCUCAACCACGGAAGUGCAGUCGAAACUGGCAGGCUCGAGUCCCGGAGAGGGUGGCGGAAUUCCCAGUGUAGAGGUGAAAUUCGUAGAUAUUGGGAGGAACACCGGUGGCGAAGGCGGCCACCUGGACGGGUACUGACGCUGAGACGCGAAAGCGUGGGGAUCAAACAGGAUUAGAUACCCUGGUAGUCCACGCCGUAAACGAUGAGCACUAGGUGUUGCGGGUAUUGACCCCUGCAGUGCCGACGCUAACGCAUUAAGUGCUCCGCCUGGGGAGUACGGUCGCAAGGCUG
rnacentral:rRNA from 1 species